AUUGAAUAACUGAAACCUUACCGCAAUGGUGUUGAACGGAUUCGACCAGGUUCGACAUUUAAAUAAUCAACUGAAACAUCAUUCUUAACCAGGAGAAGGAGUUCUUGAAACGGAAAGCAAACAUACUUCAGUGAAACAAAAGAAUGAAUAAUGUCACAAUAUCCGCCUAAUCGAAACAGAGAAGGAGGGUAUUUCAACUAAAGAGCUUCUAACAUCACUAAUGCAUUUCAGUAACGACAGCAUUUAGAAUGAGGAUAAACCUAAAAAUGUAUAAAUUGAAACGUAAGGCAUACAGAAUAACGGACGAACACUCUUUACGAAUUAAUGUAUAUUUUAAACAUGGGCACCAACAAAUGAAUAUAACAGUUCUAACUCAAUUUUUGCAUCAAACGGUUUGGUGAAUUAACUUAAACGAUCACAAUAACUUUAAGUAAGAAUGGAGAUUCCUCCUCAAAAUAUCACAAACAACCCCAAUUCGCAUAAUCCUCACAAUGAACCAUAAUAUAAGAAAUACACGAAAUGAAACAAAGGGGGAAGAAUAGGAACCUUCGAACCUCGACAAACUCGGAACGACAAACGACGACCUCGAAAUACCGUUCUAUUUAUAUCAACACCAAAUCGCAAUCGAAACUCGCCGAAAAAUUCAAACUAAUUACUCAGAACGAGAAACGACGACCUCGAAAUAUCGUUCUAUUUUUCUCGACUCCAAAUCACAAUCGAAACUCACCGGAAAAUUCAAACUAAACCAGAAAAUGGACACGACGAACUCCAUGACAGUAGCUCAUGAUUUUGGAGUUGUUUCAGGUUGUUUCACGUUGCUUUGAUGGCGAAAAUGGUGAGCCUACACCACUUGUUUUGAAGCUAUUUUCAUGGCUAUUUUUUUGAGUUUUUCUAAAGAGGAUGAUGUGCAGGAGAUGAAAAUCGAGAGGGUCAUUUUUUGUGCCCAAACUGCACUCGGUUGGACUGAAAAAUAGCAGCUGGUGGUCGCUAGCUAUUUGGAGAAGGGCUGGUCGCAGAGGUUCAGCGGUCGUUUAGAGGUGAGCUGGAGGGUGGUCGUCGAGGGAGCUGGUGUGGGUUGUUGCCGGAGAAAAAUACGAAGUGGGGUGAGGGGGUCUUCAGGCCCGCAGCUACGCUCCAAAUUUUCAGGCGUCUCCUUUGUCUAAUGUAUAUGGCAGUCUGUAUUCUUCAAAUUUCAGAAGAAGCGCCGCUUGGUCCUUCGUGUAUCUGUAUAUUGUGUGUGUAUGUUUUAUAUGAAGAACCGCCGCCAGCCCUUCCCCCAAUUCCCAAGCGUCUUCGCGUG
rnacentral:lncRNA from 1 species